UAUCAGGUGAGGAAAGUCCGUACAUUCAAGAACAGGCAGCCGGAGAAACUCCGGACGGUGUGAACCGGUGGAUAGGACCACAGAAAUGUAAACUGCCGAUGGGUAGAAAUACCACAGGCGAUGAUGCAACGGUGAGUUAAGAGCUUCACCAGCGAUAUUGAGAAAUAUCGGCUAGGCAACCCCCUGCUGAAUGCAAGAUUGAAAUGAAGGUUAUAAAGGCUGUUCGCCAACUUCAAAGAAAUCGCUAGAAAUUGGAAGUAAUUCCAAUGCCAGACAGAUGAUUGUUUAGAAACAGAACACGGCUUAUGAGCUGCUUU
rnacentral:RNase_P_RNA from 1 species